AACGAACGCUGGCGGCAGGCUUAACACAUGCAAGUCGAACGCCCCGCAAGGGGAGUGGCAGACGGGUGAGUAACGCGUGGGAAUCUACCCAGAUCUUCGGAACAACACAGGGAAACUUGUGCUAAUACCGGAUACGCCCUACGGGGGAAAGAUUUAUCGGAUUUGGAUGAGCCCGCGUUGGAUUAGCUAGUUGGUGAGGUAAUGGCUCACCAAGGCUACGAUCCAUAGCUGGUCUGAGAGGAUGAUCAGCCACACUGGGACUGAGACACGGCCCAGACUCCUACGGGAGGCAGCAGUGGGGAAUAUUGGACAAUGGGCGAAAGCCUGAUCCAGCCAUGCCGCGUGAGUGAUGAAGGCCUUAGGGUUGUAAAGCUCUUUUAGUGGGGAAGAUAAUGACGGUACCCACAGAAAAAGCCCCGGCUAACUUCGUGCCAGCAGCCGCAGUAA
rnacentral:rRNA from 1 species